rnacentral:rRNA from 1 species
AUUGAACGCUGGCGGCAGGCCUAACACAUGCAAGUCGAACGAGUGGCGGAAGGGUGAGAAAUGUCCGGGACACGGCCUGAUGGAGGGGUAUAACUACGGGAAACGGAACCUAAAACCGCAUAGCAUCGGCGGUGCCCAGAUGGGAUUAGCUAGUGGGUGGGGUAAAGGCUCACCACGGCGACGAUCCCGAGCUGGCCUGAGAGGAUGACCAGCCACACUGGAACUGUGACACGGUCCAGACUCCUACGGGAGGCAGCAGUGGGGAAUAUUGCACAAUGGUCGCAAGCCUGAUGCAGCCAUGCCGCGUGGAUGAAGAAGGCCUUCGGGUUGUAAAGUACUUUCGGCGGGGAGGCGGUACCCGCAGAAUAAGCACCGGCUAACUCCGUGCCAGCAGCCGCGGUAAUUC